GUAGGGAAUAUUAGAAAUGGACGAAAGUCUGAUCUAGCAACACCGCGUGUGCGAAGAAGGCCUUCGGGUUGUAAAGCACUUUUUGGAAGGAUUAGGAAGGAAUGUACUUCCAGAAUAAGUCUCGGCUAACUACGUGCCAGCAGCCGCGGUAACACGUAGGAGGCAAACGUUAUCCGGAUUUACUGGGCGUAAAGCGCGUGUAGGUGGUUCUGUAAGUAGGGCGUGAAAGCUCCUGGCUCAACUGGGAGAGGCCGUUCUAAACUGCAGAGCUAGAGGAUGGUAGAGGGAGGUGGAAUUCCGGGUGUAGCGGUGGAAUGCGCAGAUAUCCGGAGGAACACCAGUGGCGAAAGCGGCCUCCUGGACCAUUCCUGACACUCAGACGCGAAAGCUAGGGUAGCAAACGGGAUUAGAUACCCUGGUAGUCC
rnacentral:rRNA from 1 species